AGCUCCAAUAGCGUAUAUUAAAGUUGUUGCGGUUAAAAAGCUCGUAGUUGGAUUUCAGUUCUGGACUGACGGUUCACCGCCCGGUGAUCACUGUCACGCUCCGAACAGUUGUAUGACAAUCCGCUGGCUCGCACGGGGUGCUCUUUACCGGGUGUCCCGCGUGGCCGGCAGAGUUUACUUUGAAAAAAUUAGAGUGCUCAAAGCAGGCUACACUGACGGCCUGAAUGCCUAUGCAUGGAAUAAUGGAAUAGGACCUCGGUUCUAUUUUGUCGGUUUUCUGAACCCGAGGUAAUGACUAAUAGGAACAGGCGGGGGCAUUCGUAUUGCGACGCUAGAGGUGAAAUUCUUGGACCGUCGCAAGACGAACUACUGCGAAAGCAUUUGCCAAGGAUGUUUUCAU
rnacentral:rRNA from 1 species